rnacentral:rRNA from 1 species
UACGUAAGGGGCGAGCGUUGUCCGGAAUCAUUGGGCGUAAAGGGUACGUAGGCGGAUAUGCAAGUUAGAAGUGAAAUCCUAUAGCUCAACUAUAGUAAGCUUUUGAAACUGCUUAUCUUGAGGUAUGUAAAGGUAAGUGGAAUUCCUAGUGUAGCGGUGAAAUGCGCAGAUAUUAGGAGGAAUACCGGUGGCGAAGGCGACUUUCUGGCCAUAAACUGACGCUGAGGUACGAAAGCGUGGGUAGCAAACAGG